rnacentral:lncRNA from 1 species
AGCAUAGCCAAACACUGUCUGUACAAAAAUGUAAAAUAAAAUUAGUUAGGUAUGGUAGAGCAUGAGUCCUAGCUACUCAGGAGGCUGAGGUGUGUGGAUCACUUGAACCAGGCUGCAGUGAGUCAUGACAUGACAGAGGGAGACCCUGUCUACUGUCUGUCCCUAUAGAAAAAGAAAAAAUCUCCUGGUAUCUUUUCCUGAAUUUGGCAGACAGGAUGGCCCAAGGAAAUGCAUCAGUGCAGAGGGACAGAAACAGCAGUGUGGCCUGGGAAAGGUUUUAAAGUUAGCUGGCCGGGUGCAGUGGCUCAUGCCUGUAAUCCCAGUGCUUUGGGAGUCCAAGGCCGGGCAGAUCACCUGAUGUCAGGAGUUCGAGACCAGCCUGAGCAACGUGGACAAACCUCGUCUUUACUAAAAAUAAAGAAAAAAUUAGCCUGGCGUGGUGGUGCAUGCCUGUAAUCCCAGCUACUCAGGAGGCUGAGAUACAGGAGUCACAGCUGCCACAGACAGCGAGUUGCAGCGCUUUGCAGGGGACAGCUCAUGGACCCAGGACUGGAGCCCAGAAUGACCAGGGUUCUGGGAGGUAACAGGGAAAAUGGCAGUGGGGUAGGCAGCAUGCCUGUCCCUGAGUCAUUCCCAGGCCUAGGUGUGUGUCUACAGGAUGGACUGUCAGUGGAGGAUAGGGUGCGUUGUAAGGUUGGGGGAGGAGGCAGGACCUCAGGGCAAACUCCUCUGACCCACAAGCCCCAGGC